GAUGAAGAACGCAGCGAAAUGCGAUAAGUAGUGUGAAUUGCAGAAUUCAGUGAAUCAUCGAAUCUUUGAACGCACAUUGCGCCCCUUGGUAUCCCGAGGGGCAUGCCUGUUCGAGCGUCAUUUCACCACUCAAGCCUGGCUUGGUGUUGGGCGACGUCCUCUUUGGGGACGCGCCUCGAAACGCUCGGCGGCGUGGCACCGGCUUUAAGCGUAGCAGAAUCUUUCGCUUUGGAAGUCGGGGCCCCGUCUGCCGGAAGACCUGCUCGCAAGGUUGACCUCGGAUCAGGUAGGGUUACCCGCUGAACUUAAGCAUAUCAAUAAGCGGAGGA
rnacentral:misc_RNA from 1 species